UCCCAGACUCCUACGGGAGGCAGCAGUGAGGAAUAUUGGUCAAUGGUCGGGAGACUGGACCAGCCAAGCCGCGUGAGGGAUGAAGGUCCAGAGUAUCGUAAACCUCUUUUGUCAGGGAACAAAGGCGGGGACGCGUCCCCGGAUGAGUGUACCUGAAGAAAAAGCAUCGGCUAACUCCGUGCCAGCAGCCGCGGUAAUACGGAGGAUCCGAGCGUUAUCCGGAUUUAUUGGGUUUAAAGGGAGCGUAGAUGGGUUGUUAAGUCAGUUGUGAAAGUUUGCGGCUCAACCGUAAAAUUGCAAUUGAUACUGGCAGCCUUGAGUACAGUUGAGGUAGGCGGAAUUCGUGGUGUAGCGGUGAAAUGCAUAGAUAUCACGCAGAACUCCGAUUGCGAAGGCAGCAUACCGGCGCCCGACUGACGCUGAGGCACGAAAGCGUGGGUAUCGAACAGGAUUAGAUACCCUAGUAC
rnacentral:rRNA from 1 species